UCUGACCCAGUCCACACCCUUUUCUCGACCUGACCUGCCGCUCUUCUUUAACAAUAGAUGUGUGAAAGCAACACCGCUUCACCCGAUAAUUCACGCGACUCCAUUGGUGUGGUUCACGAUUCCAAUGACGGAAUUCACGACAGCAACAAGCAAAUACACGGCGUCUAAUAGAGAUCGACGAAAGCAAACGAAGAAUACAGGCAGUAAAUUGCGAUUUCUUUUCCUCUUCCUCGUGUCCUUUUCCAUUUUGUACGAGCUUCAACACACCAGAUCCAUACAGAAUCGUCCUUGUAGAGUGAGAUCAAGCCACUUCUCACAACAAGGAUAAUUGAGACGAUCCGAGCCGUCCACGCCACUGCCCCGUCCAGACAUUCUAGGAUUUGGCUGAAUUUUCAUACGAUGGACAACUUUCCUUCGUCCUUGGAGAAUUUUGAUUUUGAGAAUCGAGUUGCAAUUCCAACUCUAACCUUUCCCUUAUCCAAUUUCCCCUCCCUCGUAAAACAAAAAUGAACCCUAAUUUUCAUGCCAUAAGGACUCCUUUUCUUCACGGUUAGAAAGGGGGAAGAGGUCAAAAAGAGGAUUUGGACGAUUUUUGUGGGAAAAGAAGGAAAAAUCAAGAGAAAAAAAGGCGAGAAAUAGAGGUGAAAAGGGUGAGAGUUUAUUUUUUGUGAUUGAAGAUUUUUAGUUGGAAGAUCUCUAUCUCUAAUAUUGAGAGCAAACUUUACGAAAAUUAGUUGAAAGUACAUCUGUUUGAGUCUGAAGUUCUGCACGGAGUUCUAGUUGAUCUUUCAUGUUUUCGAGUUCCCCUUUGUUGGUGAAAGGCGCUGUUCAUCCUGCUCGUUCUUGUCCCAGUCGCUACCCAGAAGAAGUUUAGGACAUGUACGAUUGACGUGGGCGGAAGGUCUAAAAACAAAAUGGAUCCAAAUACUGGUCCCGGCGAACAUAAACCAGAUUUGGACCUCAACUGUCUUUCCUUUCUUCACUUUAUCACAUUUAGUUCUUGCUUGCUAA